CAGUUAGGCUGUAGAAUAUGCUGACAUAUAGUUAGUAUCUCUGACAGUUGGGCUGUAGAAUAUGCUGACAUGUAGUUAGUAUCUCUGACAGUUAGGUUGUAGAAUAUGCUGACAUGUAGUUAGUAUCUCUGACAGUUAGGCUGUAGAAUAUGCUGACAUGUAGUGAG